AAUGAACGCUGGCGGCAGGCCUAACACAUGCAAGUCGAACGGAUCCUUCGGCCUUAGUGGCGCACGGGUGCGUAACGCGUGGGAAUCUGCCCCUCGGUUCGGAAUAACAGUUAGAAAUGACUGCUAAUACCGGAUGAUGACUUCGGUCCAAAGAUUUAUCGCCGAGGGAUGAGCCCGCGUAAGAUUAGGUAGUUGGUGGGGUAAAGGCCUACCAAGCCGACGAUCUUUAGCUGGUCUGAGAGGAUGAUCAGCCACACUGGGACUGAGACACGGCCCAGACUCCUACGGGAGGCAGCAGUGGGGAAUAUUGGACAAUGGGCGAAAGCCUGAUCCAGCAAUGCCGCGUGAGUGAUGAAGGCCUUAGGGUUGUAAAGCUCUUUUACCAGGGAUGAUAAUGACAGUACCUGGAGAAUAAACUCCGGCUAACUCCGUGCCAGCCGCCGCCGUAA
rnacentral:rRNA from 1 species